rnacentral:tRNA from 1 species
GGAGAGUUGGCAGAGUGGUCGAAUGCGGCGGUCUCGAAAACCGUUGUACGGGCAACCGUACCGAAGGUUCGAAUCCUUCACUCUCCGCCA